rnacentral:lncRNA from 1 species
UCCUACACUUUACUAACACUUAGCGAAUUAGUUAAUUACAACUUUUAUAUUAUCAAUCAUAUUGAUAAUUAAUUUCUAUUAUAAUUUAUAAUCAUAAUUCAAUCAUUUAAUCGAAUAAAGACAUCUUUUUGUAUGUGACCUAUAGGUUCUAUUCUGUCUGAUAGUGAGAUAUAUUAUGAUCCCCAUCAUAAUAUCAUCAAAACUCCUUUCAAUGAAUUGAAACACUUCCAACUCUACCCAUAAGGAUCAUCGAUUAUCAGGACGUUGCUCAAUGAGUCUCACUAUCCUCCAGCGACAUCUAGCAGUAUGUAAUGGCAAUCCAGCAGAAUGGAAUAUUAAACCUCUAGGUACAAUUAUCGUGUAGUGCAAAUCCUCUGUUGUGAGUUCUGACAAGACACAGAUCAAGGAUAACUUAUCAAAUCCGUUCAUCCGUCAUAUGUCAGAUUCAAUCAACUUGAGCUCAUGUGAACCUUAUAGAAACUCCUUUCUAUCAUUCACCUACCAUGGUCAUGGAUUUUAGGAUUCAGUCUCAUGAAUCGCAUAGGAC